rnacentral:rRNA from 1 species
AGUGAACGCUGGCGGUGUGCCUAACACAUGCAAGUCGAGCGAAAAGACAGUAAGCUCUUUCUCCUACCGUUAGCGACUGCCGGACGAGUGACGCGUACAUCACCAUCUUCUUUUUCGGGGAUGAUAUCGUGGGGACACUUACACUAACGCCUCAUAUGACGUACCGCUUAAUUCAAUAGUUCAUCAGACCUUUCGCGUUAGUAUUAGCUGAUUUCGGGCUGGAUUAGCUAGUUGGUAAGGUAACGGCUCACCAAGGCUACGAUGCGUAGCUGACCUGAGAGGGUGAUCAGCCACACUGGAACUGAGACACGGUCCAGACUCCUACGGGAGGCAGCAGUGGGGAAUAUUGGACAAUGGGCGCAAGCCUGACCCAGCAACACCGCGUGAGUGAAGAAGGUCUUCGGAUUGUAAAGCCCUGUUGUUGGGAAAGAAAAGCAGUAGGAUAAACCACGGAUGUUUUGACGGUACCCAAAGAGUAAGCAACGGCUAACUUCGUG